AUGGUAGGUGGGAAGUAAAUGUUUGAUGAGUGAAUAUUGUCUUUCUACCCAAGAAUAGGUUUACUUAUUCUAAUUUUAUGACCACUUUUCUAUUUACAGCACAGAAGAGAUCCCCUUGAAGAUUUUAGCUCAUAAUAACUUUGUUGGCCGUCUUAUUGGUAAAGAAGGAAGAAAUCUUAAAAAAAUUGAGCAAGACACAGACACUAAAAUCACGAUAUCUCCAUUGCAGGAAUUGACGCUGUAUAAUCCAGAACGCACCAUUACAGUUAAAGGCAAUGUUGAGACAUGUGCCAAAGCUGAGGAGGAGAUCAUGAAGAAAAUCAGGGAGUCUUAUGAAAAUGAUAUUGCUUCUAUGAAUCUUCAAGCACAUUUAAUUCCUGGAUUAAAUCUGAACGCCUUGGGUCUGUUCCCACCCACUUCAGGGAUGCCACCUCCCACCUCAGGGCCCCCUU
rnacentral:sRNA from 1 species